rnacentral:sRNA from 1 species
UUGGCCCUACGGACUGAAGUCCUCUCUCUACCCCAAGCGCUGGUACAGCACAGGGAGUGGCAGUACAAGCUACCCCUCCCUCCCUGUGAGUGUCAGAGCACAGCGUGCAAAGAGCUCAGAACACUGCACAGGGGCACAUGCUCAGCACCAAGGGUGGGGAGUGACAACUCAGUGAACCCUCUGUUUCCACAAGCACUUUUCC